rnacentral:rRNA from 1 species
AGGAUGAACGCUGGCGGUAUGCUUAACACAUGCAAGUCGAACGGAGUGCUUCGGCACUUAGUGGCGGACGGGUGAGUAACGCGUGAGAAUCUGGCUUCGGGUUCGGGACAACAGCGGGAAACUGCUGCUAAUACCGGAUGUGCCUGAGGGUAAAAGAUUAAUUGCCCGAAGAUGAGCUCGCGUCCGAUUAGCUAGUUGGUGUGGUAAGAGCGCACCAAGGCACCGAUCGGUAGCUGGUCUGAGAGGACGAUCAGCCACACUGGGACUGAGACACGGCCCAGACUCCUACGGGAGGCAGCAGUGGGGAAUAUUGGACAAUGGGGGAAACCCUGAUCCAGCGACGCCGCGUGUGUGAAGAAGGCCUGCGGUUGUAAAGCACUUUUAGUGGGAUGAAAAGCCUAGGGUUAACACCUCUGGGUCUUGACCUAACCACAGAAAACGCACCGGCUAACUCUGUGCCAGCAGCCGC